UGUAGCGUGAAAUGAUUGGUUAGCUUUGAAAUGGUUGUGAAGUCAUGUGAAGAAAAUAAGUUUUGCAUCCGACCAAGAUAAAUUCACUCUAGUGCUUUAUGGCUUUUUAUUCCUAUGUGAUAGUAAUAAAGUCUCAUGUAGGGAUGGAAGCCAUGAAAUACAUUGUGAAAAAUCAUCAACUAAGAAGGGGCCAUCAGUAUAGAGAACGUUAGCCUGUGGAGCUGUGAAUGUGAUGGAGACAAGAUUUAGUGUAUAGCUCUGCUACCUGCCUGGUGUUCCUUUGAGUUUCUUUAUCCUUAGAUUUGACAGCUGAGAAAUCUAGGUGGAUUCAUAUUCGUAAUCAUUGAUUAACAUGCACAUUUGGGUUUGCACAUUUUUGUUUAUCAUACAUUUUUCUCCGUUUUCUAUUAAAGAACAUGCUCUAGGGGAACUAUUAAUAGCCCACCAGUCGGGUAGGCAGCAUUCAAUCCUUCUAUGCCUUCUUUCGCCACCUGUUGAGGUCUUUCUUCUGAAACAAAGAAGAAAUAGACAAAUCAGACUUGCCCUCUUGGAAAUGUGGUCCAGAUUUCUCUACUCCCAAGCUCCAAAAAAGGUAUACAUUGGAUGGGCUAGAUCAACUCCUCCUGAGAGCCAUAAAUCCGCCAAGAGUUGUUUUCCAUGUAAGGGUGUGGUACAAUGGGGAACACCUGAUGUUGGAGGAAAGCAGGAGGACUUUAGAGUGGAGUUGCAUUCUAAUCUCUCUGCCGCUUCAACUAUGUGACCUGGGGCAAAUGAUAUAAACUCUAUGAGCCUCUUUCCUUAUCUUUAAAAUGAAGAGAAGUAAUACCUACCUUGUAGGGCUGUUGUGAGGAUUAAAUGAAGUAAUGCAUACAGUGCCUAACAAAGUAUUUAACAUCAUAUUUUUUAAAAGCUCAUGAAAUAUUAGUUUUUCUUCCUUCCCCUCUUUCUAUUUUCUCUCCUGUUCCCUUUUCUCUCCCUCCUCUGCCCUCUCCUUCCUUCAGAUGUUAGUCUAAAACAGCACCUUGGAUCUAAGCAGCACCUUUGAGAAAGAAAAGACUGCUUCAAGAAUGUCUAGUUGCACCUCCUUUCCGUAUGUGGCCUAAAUGCCUAGGUUGGAUCAAUAGUUUAAUUUUUUUAUUGAACUGUUUAAUAUUGACUAUGGACUUACAUUCACUUUUACUGUUUUCUGUAUAUUUACUUUUGCUUGAAGUGUUUUAAUAUUGACUAUUUACCUCUGCUCAUUUUUAUUGAUUUUCUGUAUUUUUUCAAUGAAAAUUAUAAUAAAAAUUAUUUUUGUUAUCUUUUGUCUAUUUCCUUUACACAAUGGGAUUUUAGCCUGUGUCUAGGCUGCUCCAGUUAGACAAAUGAUGCUUUUUUCUUAAGAACCACCCACUGUUAGUACCAAAA
rnacentral:lncRNA from 1 species